rnacentral:rRNA from 1 species
UACAGAGGAGCCAAGCGUUGUCCGGAUUGACUGGGCGUAAAGCGCACGCAGGCGGUGGUGCGCGUGGGGUGUGAAAUCUGGCCGCUUAACGGCCAGGCGCCAUCCCAUACGGCACGACUGGAGGGCUGCAGAGGUCGAUGGAAUUGCCGGUGUAGUGGUGAAAUGCGUAGAUAUCUGGAGGAACACCGGUGGCGAAGGCGGCAUCCUGGACCAAUACUGACGCUGAGGAGCGAAAGCCAGGGGAGCA